CCUACGGGAGGCAGCAGUAAGGAAUCUUGCGCAAUGGGCGAAAGCCUGACGCAGCGACGCCGCGUGGGCGAUGAAGGCCUUCGGGUUGUAAAGCCCUUUUCUGGGGGACGAGGAAGGACGGUACCCCAGGAAUAAGUCACGGCUAACUACGUGCCAGCAGCCGCGGUAAUACGUAGGGGGCAAGCGUUACUCGGAAUUACUGGGCGUAAAGGGUGUGUAGGCGGCCGAGCAAGUCGAAGAUGAAAUCCCAGGGCUCAACCCUGGAAUGGUCUUCGAUACGGCUUGGCUUGAGGGUAGUGGAGGAGAGCGAAAUUCCCGGUGGAGCGGUAAAAUGCGUAGAUAUCGGGAGGAACACCAGAGGCGAAGGCGGCUCUCUAUGCUACUCCUGACGCUGAGGCGCUAAAGCGGGGGGAGCAAACAGGCUUAGAUCCCCUGGUAUU
rnacentral:rRNA from 1 species